rnacentral:lncRNA from 10 species
CAAAAACUUUGUCAACCACUGAUCUUUCCACUGUCUCCAUAGUUUUUCCAGAGUGUUAUACUAUACAGCUGGACCUUCCAGUACAACGUAACAUCCAGAUGUACAUUUCCAGCCCACACCCGGUUCCAGCUACCUCACUGAUGUGGAGUUCUAACUGGGGAGGAGGAGCCAGGCUGGCUGGAGCAGGAGGCGUAGACAGACCCACAGCUCUCUGCUGAGACUGACGGGGCCUGGAAGAGGUGGGUGCAGUGGCCUCCCACACAGAACCUCCCUGUCUGAAUAGUUGAGGGACAGACACCUCCAUACAAGGCAAGAAGUGCCCCUGUUCCAGUGCGGCCUCUCAGAGGAUACAGCAACCCGCCUGACCCCUGGGGAAGCUGGACAAGGCUCUGCUGGACUUGGAAGAGUGGGUAGGAGCAGGACAGAUGACUGAGGUGGGGUUGGGAGAAGAGGAAGGAGGUGGGGCCUGCCAGGAGGACAGCGGUACAGCCGAGGACGGUGUUCUGAGGAUGGGGGUGAGCAGCUGGCAGCGGCUACACAAGGACUGUAAAAAGUGAACCCUGUCCCAGAGGCCUGGGCAUGCAAAAUAGGGACACAGGUACCCCACAGAGACAGGACUUCAAGAAGACAGAGGACAACUGGCCACCAGUUUUACCUGAAUAUUUAGUUGGGAGAAGUUAAAAAGAUACCAUAUAAGCACUAUAAAGUCAGUGCUUUAAAAGGAAAACAAACAGCCGUGAAGUGAAAUGCAAAAUUCACCUGAAUUUUAAAGACGAAACAAAGAACUGUGUAUCCAUGGAGACACUUCAGACUCUGCAGGCAGAUCCCGGGCCCUGUCUCACUCCUGAGCCAUAUGUUUGAGUAAGGUGGCUAUGUAAUUGGGACUACAUGCAGUUAGACCACCCAGUCAAUCAGACAAGUGUCCCACCCGCCAAAGAGCACAGCGUGGAGCCGGGGAGAAGGUAGAUCCAUCCACAGACAAGUGUUUUUUGUUGU